GCAGGUAGAUGCCUCGUGUUGACAGCUACGAGCCAGCCCAGGGUCCCCAGUUCUCAACACUGUCCCACCCAGAUGGCUCCAAGGUGCUCCUGCCUCUCAAUCACCACACCUACCUCUCACCUCAGUCCUUCCCCACUCCCCUCCUGCCUGGACCAUCUCCCCAGGCUCCUUCCCCAUCCCAUCUCGGGUCCUGAGGGGUCUUCUUUGUACCACCCAGCGCUGACUCCAUCCCUUCCUCCCCCACUCUCCAUCAUGACCCCGCUGCCACCUGGCUCAUUUCCUCUCCCAGAACAUCGAGAUCCCCAUCAUGUGAGCCAGCUUAUUCCCAACAGAGUCCCCUGGUGUCCACCCUUUCGGCACCCGCACCCACAGCCAGCCUCAUGACCUCCCCAGAGCUGUGUCUAGAACCCAUUUUUGCCCUGUUGGCCAGCCUUCCUCCUUCCUCCUUCCUCCUCCCUCCUCCUCCCAUCAUCCUAUCUUCACUGCUUCCAGACCUCAUCUCAGCACAUUCUGACACUCCCAACCCCCUCUGCAGCCACCACUGCCCCACUGAUGCCUGAGCCAGGGGCAGGGGCAGACCUGCCCGGCCUGGCCUCCAGCCUGGUGGACCGUCACCUGUGCAAACUCUGAACACCACCUCCAGGUGCUCCGGCUGGCUUUCCCUGGUGU
rnacentral:sRNA from 1 species